UUGUGACUUCUGUUUCUUUCUGCAGCAUAUUUUGACUACAAAGAUGAGUCUGGGUUUCCAAAGCCUCCGUCCUACAAUGUGGCCACAACACUGCCCACUUACGAUGAAGCUGAGAGAACCAAGGCCGAGGCCACUAUCCCUUUGGUUCCUGGAAGAGAUGAGGAUUUUGUGGGUCGGGAUGAUUUUGAUGAUGCUGACCAGCUGAGGAUAGGAAAUGAUGGGAUUUUCAUGUUAACUUUUUUCAUGGCAUUCCUUUUUAACUGGAUUGGGUUUUUCCUGUCUUUUUGCCUGACUACUUCAGCUGCUGGAAGGUACGGGGCCAUUUCAGGUUUUGGUCUCUCUCUGAUUAAGUGGAUCCUGAUUGUCAGGUUUUCCACCUAUUUCCCUGGAUAUUUUGAUGGUCAGUACUGGCUCUGGUGGGUGUUCCUGGUUUUAGGUUUUCUCCUGUUUCUCAGAGGAUUUAUCAAUUAUGCAAAAGUUCGGAAGAUGCCAGAAACUUUUUCGAAUCUCCCCAGGACCAGAGUUCUCUUUAUUUAUUAAAGAUGUUUUCUGGCAAAGGCCUUCCUGCGUUUAUGAAUUCUCUCUCAAGAAGCAGGAGAACACCUGCAGGAAGUGAAUCAAGAUGCAGAACACAGAGGAACAAUCACCUGCUUUAAAAAAAAUUAAGUACUGUUGAAAAAUAUCAUUUCUCUCUGUUCCUAGGUGUAAAAUUUUAAUAGUUAAUGCAGAAUUCCAUAAUCAUUGAAUCAUUAGUGGUUAAUGUUUGAAAAAGCUCUUGCAAUCAAGUCUGUGGUGUAUUAAUAAUGCCUUAUCUAUUGUUUGUAGUCAUUUUGAAUAGCAUGAGCCUUGUCCCUGUAGUCAGUAGGGGGCAAUCUUGCUUUAUUCAUCCUCCAUCUCAAAAUGAAUUUGGAAUUAAAUAUUUCAGUGUAAGAUAUGUAUAAUGCUGGCCAUUUUAAAGGGGUUUUCUCAAAAGUUAAAACUUUUGUUAUCACUGCAUUUCUGCACAUAAUCCAUAGUUGCUGUUAAAAUUAAUCUAGAAAUUUAUUCAGUAGUACUGUGACACCUGGAAGCAAAAUCAUAGUGCAAAGUCCAUUUAAGAUGUGGUCAAGAAUAUGUUCUUAAUUGGUAAAAAGCACUAAUUUUUUAUAGUCUGUAUUCUGAAUUUUGCAGUACAUUAUUGUUCUGUGUUGGGUACCUAAGGGAUUGUAAAGAUGGUUGUCACUAUAAAAUAGGACAAGGGCAAAUGCAGCUUCAUUACUAAAAUGCAAUUCUUGACAUUUUCUUAUGAUUAGAGUCCCUACCACUGUGUUUCUUUUCCUUUUGUCUCCUGAUGAUUAGGCCAGGGGCUGGGAGGAGGAAGGGGGAUUAGGUAUUAGGAGCAAAGAAAGAAUUAGCUUGGAACUUUUGAGAUGAUCCCUAACGUACUAUACUACUAGCUUUUACAAUGUGUUGCAGAAACUGAUGUGUUAUAAAUGUUAGAAUGGUGUGCUUUCUGCCAAGUGGUAAUUCACCUUGGUCUGCUAUGUUGAAACUGUAAAUAAAACAGAACAUUAAUAAAUGUCUCUUGUGUAGCAACUUUUGCUGUAGAUUAGUGUUUAAUUUCUUGUUCUGCAUUUGUUGAUUGCAAAGCAAUUUUUCUGAAUUUUCAUUCAUACAGAAUCAUUGAGUAAAUACAAAAGAACUGAUCUUGGGCCAAUUUUUUCAUCUCUUUCAGCACGGGCAGUUCCCUUCUUUCAUAUAGUUCUCAAUACAUUCCUAAAAAUGUGUGUGAAAAUUGGUUCUGCGAAAGAUAAUGAAUUAAAACAGAGAGGAGUUGUAAGUCAUUCUGGAAUUCCUAAUUAUGCUUCAUUUUUUAGACCUAAUUUAUUUCUAGUAUUUCUGCAUGUUCCCUGCAUUUGCCCUUUCUCUGGGGUGAACAUAGCCAACUGGCUUAAAGCCUGUGUGAGCACCCAGUUGAGGCUGUAGAUUUCUCAUUCUUCCUGAUGUCUGUUCUUUUCUCAGUUGUAUUUAGUUCGGAGACCAGCAGUUCUUACAAUGUCUGCCAUUUGAUGUUUUUCCCCCUCUUGCACUUACUCAAUAUAUAAAGGAAAAAUGGUGCAAGAUCGUCAAAUAACACAAACCAGCCCUAGCAUGGUAGGAUAGCUGUAAGUGUUCACUUACCUGCUGCAUGUGAGUAUCUGAGAUCAGCUUAGGAAGUCUGUGUAGGGGAACCAGGAUGUAAAUGCAGAGAAGUGUAGGUUGUUUGAAAACCAAACAGGAAAAUUGAGAGCCUCCUGAAUCGACAUUUCAAUGAUCAUUCCAACUAUUUUCUUGAUAAUUACAAUAGUAUAGUAUGUUCCUGUUCAAAAGUUAUAUUUUACAGUAGAUCGGCAGAGGUUUUUACAAACGUCUUUGAAGAUUUUUUAUUUUGAAUUAGAGUAUACCAACAGUAAAGUUUGGAAUUUGAUAGCCUAUCAUACUCUAAGUUUCAGAAUGAUAGAUCUCUAACAAUCUGAAUAAAUUUGGACAUGUGCAACAGAGAGAGCUAUUUUAAUUAUCCUACAAGACAAAAUAGAAGGGCUCUCUGAGUCACAGUAACUACAACACUGUAGAGUUGUUUGUGUUUAUUCUUUAGGUAUUUGUGCCUUAUUUGGUUUUGUAUAUUUGGAGAACUGAAGUAUUUGAGAUUCUUAUUUCUACAUAUUUGGUGGGCCUAAGACUUUGUCAAAUGAAAACCUAGUUUGUUUGAUAUGCUUUAAAAGUCCUUAGAGGAAGGAUUUCUUUCUUUUAAAUAUAAAACUUAGAGUCUUCAGAUGCAUAAAGUUGGCACCUAGUCUUUACUCUUUAUGGUGAAAAUAUUUAUACUGCACUGUUAUUUUUCUUUCUUAUUCUUUUGUUGUCUCCCUUUGGUAGGCUCAUUAUUGAGAAUAACCAUUUCAGAUAAAGGGUGGGUCUUUAAAAUGAAUUACUUGAAUGGGGAUACAGAAGAACCACGGUUAAUUUGUCUAAGAUUAUGGGAUAAAUGGCUUUGAGCCUGGGCUAGGGGACGACUAGGGCUCACCCGUGAGCACAAAGGUCCCUCAUGUCUCUUACUUAUUGUUACCAUUUGGAAUCACGCACUGUGUUGAAAGGGUCCUACAUAGCCAUUUCUAAUUUUUUGUCUUUUGUUUUUUUUUUUUCCUUCAGAAAAUUAGAUUGCUUUGUAUGGGAAUAAGAGGUGUUACUAAAAUUUGUUAAAAAUGCUAAAAAAUAUCUUAAUGGGAUCAAUUUUGUUUAGAGUUUUGAAGAAACAAGAUUUUUAGUGAAGUAAAUGAUAAUAUCCUACUCUUUGGUUAUUUUCUUGUUAAGUAUGUUUUCUGACCUGAGCUGUGGCCCACCAUGAGUCAUUAGUGGCACAAAUGGAAUUUCUUUUGGCCUUCACUGUAUUCUUAUACUAGAAUAUACCCCACUUAGCUAUAAUUUGUUUCUACUUAAAGAAAGAAGUAACUACAGAAAGGGAAUUUCAGGGCCAGUAGAAGUGAUAAUUCAGUUUAAGUGGUUGUCUGAGGUGGCAGGGUUCUGGGGUGAGAAUCAACAAAAAUAUACCCCAUGAAUGGUGGAGUACUUGGCUUCAGCUUUGAAUCCCGCACUACUACCGUUUCCUUGUGUCUGGCCUUGAGGGUUGGCUUAGUAGAUACUAAAAAAAUCACUUGGCCCUGAUUUUAUGAAAAAGUAAUUGUGGCCCCUAAUUAUGUACCUGAAUCUGGUUCUUGGUGAAACCUUGAUGGUGAUAAAUGUAGGUAAGUCAUGUGGAAGAUAUAGUUUAAUAAUUUUCAGGUUCUACUGGUAUUUUUCAGCUAUUUAGAUUUUCCUUUUCAGGUUUUCUGAAGAUGGUUUGAAUGAUGAUGAGAGGUGUAGUAAAAUGCAGAUAUGUUUCCAUUGAUGACUUGUGCAUUUAAAAAAUCUAGUUUUGCAUAUAUUUAUGCCUAAAUAUUAUUUCCAGUCUGUAAGGUAGUUAAGAUGGAUUGAGUGAGAGCAUUGAUUAAACCAGUACUGAAGUACUCUUGGUUUAUCUCUCCCUUUUGCAUAUACCUACAGGCUUUUGUGUGUGUGCACAGUAGUACUCAUUUAGAGCAGCCACAGGUCACUCCUCAAUACUGGUUACCUGUCGGCUCUGCUACUGGAGUGGACGGCAUCUCAGAACCACGCCAGGAAUCCCCGAACGGAAGAGUUAAGUUUAGGUUUGAGAAUAAAACUCUUUCAGGAGGGAAAAUGAGUUACAGAAACUGACUUUGUAUCAUCCCCAUUCUAAAAAAAGUCUAUUUUAUAAGCUAGUUCAUUGUACCACCUACAACUUAAUGGCCUAUAAAAGACCUGCUCUGAACGGAAAAUCUAUGAAUGGAGAACUGUCCUCCUGAGGACAGUUUCCCUGACUAUAAAUUUGAAAUAGUCCACCUACUUCAUUUUGACCCCCUCAGUACUCCAGUUAUUCUCAGAAUUUGUCACUUGUAUAACACACAGAUUAUUCACGUUUUUGUUUGAUACCCUGUUUUUACUUAAAAGUCUGUUUUUUUCUUUUACCAAAGGCGUUUUCUGAUUUUGAGAGUGCUAAUUCUUUGGUUCAUCAAUUGGCAAAGAGCUAAGAUGUAAACUUAAAUGCAAACCUAUUAAACCCAAAUAUAGAAUAUGUGAAAUAGGGAUCUUGUGUUUCAUGCGGGAGCCCACCGAGGUCAGGCGCGGAUGCAGCCGUGCGAGGCGGCCAUCUCCUGAGCCGGCUUUGCGCGCUGCCCCUCCUGCCCCGCAAGUGAUUGGUUUUCAUCAUUUAUGUGGGAAGUGAAAUGCUUCACAGGCUUUUCCCCGUCUGUGUGUGAUUGCAAGUUUAUAGACACCAAAACUGAGAAAAGUGGCUUUCUUAAAGUCUUCCAAAGAUGAGUGCUGGAGCUCUGAGAAGAAGGUAAGUAUUGUUAGUAGUUGUCUGGAAUGCUUCGCAAGUGGUAUACACAGCCCAGGAAACAAAAAAAUGGGUUACAACGUAAAAAUCUCUUAAAUACAGAAGGUAAUUUCUUGAUAGUUAAGCACUGCGUGCUCAACUAGCAAACUACGGAAGCGCUGCCUUCGUACUGCGAACCCCAGCCCGACUCCUCUGACACCGACCGGAGCUGCAGAGACUUUUCACCUUACCCAGGUAGGGUUUGCGUUCAUGUCCCCUCCGAGAGCUGCUUCCCGCACUUAGGCCAGUGGCUUCGUGGCCAAACAGGAUCAGAGCGGUCCGUCACCGUAACCGGCUGGUGUCACACUUGAUGAAACGGCCUUUUCGUUUGCAGAAAUGCUUAACAUGCUCCCUUAAGUGAGGUUUUAGAAUUUUGCCAUCUUCCUGAUUCCACAUCAUUAUUUUGACAGAACAUUUCAGAGGCUGUAUGUGGCAGAUGCUUGGUUUAGGUGUCAUUCUGGUCAUUUUGUUUUUUUCUGAUUAUCGACAUUAAGGGUUUUACUUUGAUUUAUUUCCAUGAUUUAUUUCCGAUUUAUAUUUUAAUGUGGGAUUGCAGAUAAAUUAGUAUAAACGAGCCACUGGUUGGAUUAAUAUUUUCACCAAGUCUUACUUAUCAGCAUCAUUUGGAACUAUAUAGUUCUUUUUGAAAAGUGGGCAGUGGUGGCCCAAAGAAGCAAAACUAGCAGCCCUUGUAUUUCUAGGUUUGACUCAGUGGCUCUCAUACCCUAGAUCUGUGCACUCCGCGUCAUGUGUAUGAGAAAAGCCUUUCUCGGUAGCUUGUAUGUCAUCCCCGAGGCUCCUUGUAUGAAAUGGGGUUUAAUCUCCCAUCUGUUUUUGGCCUUAAGCCCUUCUUUGAUUUAGCAGUUCCCUACAUUUAGGUAUUAAGACCUUUUUAUGUUUUCCCAGCAUCCAUCCUGUAAAAUUAAUAGACCUGGUUCCUGAGCUUCCUGAUAAAGAAACGGAAAAGUUGCACUUUAUUCAGAAUUCCAAAAUGAGGGGGGAAGCACCCUCUAGUAUCUGAAGCUAUUUUCAAACCUUCGUCUAUUCUGAAGGAGUUGCGUUGAGGUGGCAGUCGCCAAUGUUCCCUUCAAGAAGCCGUCCCCUAAGGGACACGGGAGGAAGACCGUGGAAGGUGCAGCGGGUCAGAAGGGCCCAGGAGGAAGCGCUGUCCGACGUGUCAGAAAGGCGGACUGGUGGCGGAGGGCAGCCGAUGGGUUCCUUGGGUCCUGUGCUCUGACUUUGAUCCUCAGACUCGCAGGAGGAGAUUGCCGGCCCAUUGCUAGGCGCCCCUAUAAAAGAGGAUCGACCUAAGAUGAAGAAUGACUUUAAAGAGCGGCCAGAAUUUUUCUUUAAUUCCUUCUUUGUUUGGGUCACUUUUCUCUGCAUAUGAUUAUGUCUGAAAGACGUGGUUGGAUACACUCUUGAGAGUUCUUUUUACAGAAAAGAAAGAAAAAAAUUUCUGAAGUUCCAGAGACUUCCUCCUCCACUGUCGCAUUUAUGUAAGAGUUUGAGGAGCUAAAUUCACUAGACUGUAGUUUAAACUUAAAAAAACAAAAAGACUAAUGUGUUUUAUGGUGACAUUUUUAUACAAAUGAUUCCUUGGUAGCAUACUGGCCAUUUUAAAGUGCAGUCUGACCUUUCAGGGGGACACAUUUAAAUUCUCUUGAGUUUAGACACUGUACUUAGGACAAAUUGUUGUGUUCAAACCUUGCUGCCAAUCUCAGUGAUGUCUUCAUUGGGUGCUUAUUUUCAAAUAAUACCUGAACCAUCCAAAAACAGUAGACUAAAAAUUGUCAUUAAAAACAUACCAAGUUUUAAUAGCAAGCCAUGGCUACUUUUGCUGCCUUUCAUUUAUUGCCAGGUCUAUUUUAUUAGAGGGAAAGAUAAAUAAAUGUGUUUUGCAGAAAAUACGUAGUGUAAGUCAGCCCCAGUAGCAGCAAAGCUACUAUUUUUUAACUAGAUGGUGGCACAUUUACACAGUUUAUUAGUUACCUCCUCACAAAAGUUUUAGGAACACAGGGCCAAACAGAGGUCAUAAGCUUAUCCAAGCUGGCCCUGCGGGGCACUGCUUUGGUGACGCCAGACAGCUGAAGAGAAGCCGAGACGCCUUCCCUGCGUCUUCAGAUUCCAAGAGGCCUUGGCUUCACCUCCAUCUACAGUAUUUUAUUCUCCUUGGGAGGAAUUUCAAAUGAAAUUCAGACCAUCUCCUGUGUUAGAAGUGAUGAAGUUCCAGUUUUGAAAAAUAAAGUUCCCUAUAUUAAAAUA